rnacentral:lncRNA from 1 species
AGGCAGUGAAGGAGCAGCAGUGGCAGCAAGACUGUCAGCAGGGUUUCCACAGGACAGAGCUCUGAGUCUGUCACUGAGUGCUAGAGGGCUAGAGGUCGAUAACUGGGUAUGACCUUCCUGAUGUUGGAAGCACCAAUGAGAAAACUGGUCAUUUUGUACUUUAUGCUGUCCAUUGUCCUCAGCCCCUUCCUCAGUCUAGAACGCACAGCAGCACAGUCAGGCCAGGAUUCCCAAUUCUGUAGUGUGCACAGCUGCUGAGCCAGUUUCUCACCAUCACCAUGCCCUGCCCUUCCUCUUUCACACUGACCUCUGGACACACUUCCCCAUCUCCAUUGCUUUGUCUACUGGAGGUGUACUUAUGACGUGAAGGGAUGUGAUGUAACAAGUCACAUUUUGUGCUGAAAGUCUUGCAGAAGGGAAUAGUUAACGGCAGGCAUGUUUACAAGUCCCUCCUGACCUUUGAGUGGCCAGGGAGCUGUGAGUCUUGCCUUUUUCUAUCCUAGCACCCCGUCGUCCUUCCACAAGAAGGAAAAUUAUUUCUGGUGGUCUGGUUCCCUGGGGAAGGGGUCCAAACACCAGGGCUGGGCUGGGUAUGCUGCAUAGAGAAAGCUCAGUCCAUUCUCAAGCAUGCACAGUAUACACAACAGUUCUUGCUUUCAUCCCUUCAAACUGUGUGCACUUGGCAUGUACAUACAACCAAGGGUGAGCCCUGCUAAAUAAGAUGGCUCCUGCUGAAUUAAGUGAUUCAGCCAAGUACCACUUGAGUACAGCCAUGUGCAGCUGGGAUGAGAGGCUGUGAGAACCCAGGCAGAAAAGAUCCUCCAGGAGGCAAAGUCACAGAUGUCACUGCUGGCCAAGUACAUGAACUAACAGGCUCCAUGUCCAAGGCUGGACUGGGGUUUAGUCUACACCAAAUAACUGCCAGGGAAUAAGGGGUGGAGGAGUGGGGCCAGGUUCUGUCAGGUGUUCAGGACCAGCACACAUGAUACUCCCCAGGCUUGGUAAUCAAGGAUGAUGAUGGACAAGACAGCAGCCUCUCGGGGACAAAACAACCUCCUGGUAAAGUGGAAGGCUGCAUGGUUGUCACAUGUCUGCUUCCUGAAGUCAAAGUCUAACCCCUCCUAGGCCAGGAGGGCAGAGGGAAAGCAACCUCUACUGCCACACUUCUCUACCUGUGCGUUGCUCUCCCUUCCCCCAAUUCCACAUGAAAUUUAAAUCAAAUUCAUAAAAUUAAAAAUUGUAAAAAGGCAAAGUAGGCAGGCUAAGCUAAAUGGAAAAGAAAAAAAGACCAUUGUGGAGAAGUUUUAAAAAACAACUAGCCGG